rnacentral:tRNA from 1 species
GGCAACAUGGCCGAGCGGUCUAAGGCGCUAGAUCCAGGUUCUAGUCAGAAAUGGCGUGGGUUCGAAUCCCACUGUUGUCA